rnacentral:lncRNA from 1 species
GGACUGUAUUCACACAUGUGUGCAGUUGAUCUGGAGAGGAGGAGGAGGAGGAGGAGUUCUGGAAGGCUGAGGUUCUUCCAGACUGGGAAAGAGAAGGGUGAGGCUGCUCUCUGGAACAAAGACAGUCUCAGGAGGGGCAGGGGAAGGGCCCCACACUACAGAGUUUUGCUGAGAGCAGUGAAACUCGCUUCAUGAAGAGACCUUCACUUCCAUCAUAUGCAAAUUACAUGAAUUCACCAUUGAGCAGAAGUGUGCCAAUUUACAGCACCUCCACACUACAAGAUGGCAGGCCAGGCUGGGCCCUGCAUGGGACAGGCCAGAUAAAGCACCCACUCACCUCACUGAGACUGAGAUAAAGGUUUGCAGGGUGGUGCUGGAAUCUAGCCCCACCUGUAUCCUGAAUAGGGCCCCCAAAACACUCUUCUAGUUAAACCAUAUCCUUGGUCUCACCAGCUGAGCUUUGCCAUUAGGUGGAGCAAUUUCUGAACUUAAUUUAAUUAAUUUAUGAACUGGGCCCAGAGACCUAUCCUGGCCCUUAGAUUAGCCUCCUCCUAGCCAAGCCUUACGCCUGUAGUGGUUCAGGGCUACAGAGCCUGACCACUGAUUUCAUUUACAGAUCUCCACUUCCCGGUUUCUAGUUCCCUUUCAGGUCUGGUUCUGGGAAAUGCUGGAUAUCAUUGUCCAUGUGUUUGUUUUGUUUUAAAUUCAAAAUAAAUACAAGUUGGAAGAAGAGAGGUUUGCCAGGCCUGGCAGGAUAGGGGAAUUGGUAUUGAUUGGUGGUACUUGGUCCUUUGAAGCAAACCCCAGAGUUCUAAAGCUCCCUGCCCUGGCAGGAAUCUACCCUUUGUCUUCACCAGGGACUUCUUCCUUCUUUCCACUGGCUUUCCUUCUAUGGCAGCCUGGGCCUCUGACACUGAAGCCUGGCCUCCUUGGGCUUCUCACCUCUGGGUCUGCCAGGACACAGAGAUGCAUCUCUCCUCUGACCUCAGGCUAUAAUUGUCCUUAUAAGGAACUGAUCCAAUAGGGGAGGAUCUGUUCCUGUUGGGAUGCAGGCUUCUGCUGGCUGAGGGGCAAG